AGUGAACGCUGGCGGUAGGCCUAACACAUGCAAGUCGAACGGCAGCACAGUAAGAGCUUGCUCUUACGGGUGGCGAGUGGCGGACGGGUGAGGAAUACAUCGGAAUCUACUUUUUCGGGGGGGAUAACGUAGGGAAACUUACGCUAAUACCGCAUACGACCUACGGGUGAAAGCAGGAGAUCUUCGGACCUUGCGCGAUUGAAUGAGCCGAUGUCGGAUUAGCUAGUUGGCGGGGUAAAGGCCCACCAAGGCGACGAUGCGUAGCUGGUCUGAGAGGAUGAUCAGCCACACUGGAACUGAGACACGGUCCAGACUCCUACGGGAGGCAGCAGUGGGGAAUAUUGGACAAUGGGCGCAAGCCUGAUCCAGCCAUACCGCGUGGGUGAAGAAGGUCUUCGGGUUGUAAAGCUCUUUUGUUGGGAAAGAACAGCAGCAGGUUAAUCCCCCGCUGUUCUGACGGUACCUAAUGAAUAAGCACCGGCUAACUUCGUG
rnacentral:rRNA from 1 species